GGUUGGAAUUAGGGAGAAUAUAAGUACAGCAACAGCUUGCAGUUUUAAUCAUUACAAAGAAGUCAGUCUUCGUGGAAGCACCACUAGAAAAGAGUGAGAGGUACGCAGAUACAAGCUGUGACAGUGUGAUUGCUGUCAAUAUUUAUUGUGGUGAGUAUAACCGACAUUAUCUCCGUCUCUGAUUCUUUAUUUAAAUUUACUUUUCAUUUUUUGUAAUUCUCACUGUAG